rnacentral:rRNA from 1 species
AAUAGAUACCCUGGUAGUCCACGCCGUAAACGAUGAGUGCUAAGGUGUUAGGGGGUUUCCGCCCCUUAGUGCUGCAGCUAACGCAUUAAGCACUCCGCCUGGGGAGUACGGUCGCAAGACUGAAAACUCAAAGGGAAUUGACGGGGGCCCGCACAAGCGGUGGAGCAUGUGGUUUAAUUCGAAGCAACGCGAAGAACCUUACCAGGUCUUGACAUCCCGCUGACCGGCCUAGAGAUAGGCUUUUCCCUUCGGGGACAGCGGUGACAGGUGGUGCAUGGUUGUCGUCAGCUCGUGCCGUGAGAUGUUGGGUUAAGUCCCGCAACGAGCGCAACCCUUGAUCUUAGUUGCCAGCAUUCAGUUGGGCACUCUAAGGUGACUGCCGGUGAUAAACCGGAGGAAGGUGGGGAUGACGUCAAAUCAUCAUGCCCCUUAUGACCUGGGCUACACACGUGCUACAAUGGACGGUACAGAGGGUCGCAACCCCGCGAGGGUGAGCUAAUCCCAUAAAAACCGUUCUCAGUUCGGAUUGUAGG